rnacentral:tRNA from 1 species
GCCGGCGUAGCUCAAUGGUAGAGCGGCGUUCCUUUAAAUCGUUCGAUGCGAGUUCAAGUCUCGCCGCCGGUCCCA